rnacentral:rRNA from 1 species
GUCUAUGGCCAUGCCACCCUGAACAGGCCCAAUCCCAUCUGAUCUCGGAAGCUAAGCAGGGUCGGGCCUGGUUAGUACUUGGAUGGGAGACCACCUAGGAAGACUAGGUGCUGUAGGCG